UACAGAGGGUGCGAGCGUUAAUCGGAAUUACUGGGCGUAAAGCGUGCGUAGACGGUCAUGUAAGUCGGGUGUGAAAUCCCCGGGCUCAACCUGGGAAUUGCAUUCGAGACUGCGUGGCUAGGGUGCGGAAGAGGGAAGCGGAAUUUCCGGUGUAGCGGUGAAAUGCGUAGAUAUCGGAAGGAACAUCAGUGGCGAAAGCGGCUUCCUGGUCCAGCACCGACGUUCAGGCACGAAAGCGCGGGGAGCAAACAGG
rnacentral:rRNA from 1 species